rnacentral:rRNA from 1 species
UACGUAGGGGGCAAGCGUUGUCCGGAAUCAUUGGGCGUAAAGAGCGUGUAGGCGGCCCGAUAAGUCCGCUGUGAAAGUCCAGGGCUCAACCCUGGAAUGCCGGUGGAUACUGUCGGGCUCGAAUCCGGAAGAGGUGAGUGGAAUUCCUGGUGUAGCGGUGAAAUGCGCAGAUAUCAGGAGGAACACCGGUGGCGAAGGCGGGUCUCUGGGCCGAUAUUGACGCUGAGGCACGAAAGCGUGGGGAGCGAACAGG